AGAGUUUGAUCCUGGCUCAGAUUGAACGCUGGCGGCGUGCCUAACACAUGCAAGUCGAGCGGUAGCAGGUGUAGCAAUACAUGCUGACGAGCGGCGAACGGGUGAGUAAUGCUUCGGAAUCUACCCACGGGUGGGGAAUAACCAACCGAAAGGUUGGCUAAUACCGCAUAAGUCCUACGGGGGAAAGCGGGGGAUCGAAAGACCCCGCGCCGGUGGAUGAGCCGAAGCCGGAUUAGCUAGUUGGUAGGGUAAUGGCCUACCAAGGCGACGAUCCGUAGCUGGUCUGAGAGGACGACCAGCCACACUGGGACUGAGACACGGCCCAGACUCCUACGGGAGGCAGCAGUGGGGAAUAUUGGACAAUGGGGGAAACCCUGAUCCAGCGACGCCGCGUGUGUGAAGAAGGCCUGCGGGUUGUAAAGCACUUUUAGUGGGGAUGAAAAGCCUGGAGCUAAUACCUCCGGGUCUUGACCUAACCCACAGAAAAAGCACCGGCUAACUCUGUGCCAGCAGCCGCGGUAAUACAGAGGGUGCGAGCGUUAAUCGGAAUUACUGGGCGUAAAGCGUGCGUAGACGGUCGUGCAAGUCGGGUGUGAAAGCCCCGGGCUCAACCUGGGAAUUGCAUUCGAGACUGCUCGGCUAGGGUGCGGAAGAGGGAAGCGGAAUUUCCGGUGUAGCGGUGAAAUGCGUAGAUAUCGGAAGGAACACCAGUGGCGAAAGCGGCUUCCUGGUCCGACACCGACGUUCAGGCACGAAAGCGUGGGGAGCAACAGGAUUAGAUACCCUGGUAGUCCACGCCAUAAACGAUGAGAAUUAGACGUUGGUGGGGUUAGCCCUCCAGUUGUCGCAGCUACGCGUUAAGUUCUCCGCCUGGGGAGUACGGGCGCAAGGUUGAAACUCAAAGGAAUGGACGGGGACCCCGCAACAACGGUGGAGCAUGUGAUUAACUCGAAUGCAAGCGAAAAACCUUACCUGGGCCUUGACAUCCGGGAACCCUG
rnacentral:rRNA from 1 species